AUUGAACGCUCGCGGGAUGCCUUACACAUGCAAGUCGAACGAGUGGCGGACGGGUGAGUAAUAUAUCGGAACGUGCCCAGUAGCGGGGGAUAACUACUCGAAAGAGUGGCUAAUACCGCAUACUCUUGGAUCGGCCGAUAUCGGGUUAGCUAGUUGGUGGGGGAAAGGCUCACCAAGGCAACGAUCCGUAGCUGGUCUGAGAGGACGACCAGCCACACUGGGACUGAGACACGGCCCAGACUCCUACGGGAGGCAGCAGUGGGGAAUUUUGGACAAUGGGCGAAACCCUGAUUCAGCCAUUCCGCGUGUAUGAGAAGGCCUUCGGGUUGUAAAGUACUUUCGGCAGAGAAGCGGUAUCAGCAGAACACGAACCGGCUACCUACGUGACAGCAGCCGCGGUAAUAC
rnacentral:rRNA from 1 species